rnacentral:rRNA from 1 species
UACGAAGGGGGUUAGCGUUGCUCGGAAUCACUGGGCGUAAAGCGCACGUAGGCGGGUUGUUAAGUCAGGGGUGAAAUCCUGGAGCUCAACUCCAGAACUGCCUUUGAUACUGGCGACCUUGAGUCCGGGAGAGGUGAGUGGAAUUGCGAGUGUAGAGGUGAAAUUCGUAGAUAUUCGCAAGAACACCAGUGGCGAAGGCGGCUCACUGGCCCGGAACUGACGCUGAGGUGCGAAAGCGUGGGGAGCAAACACG